ACAGAUUGUGGGCAUUCAUGAGCUCGUGGACAAGUUCUUGGAACUGAUUUGUGGAGGAGAGGUCAAAGAACCAUGCGCUGAAGUAAAAAUAGAAGACAUUCAUGGUGGAGCACUGGCAGCAAGUCACACCUGCCGCCAUAUUGAGGGUCUAAAAGGGUCACGGCUUCAAAAUACAGGUCUAUCUUGAGAUUGCUUUUCUUCCUGAAUCAAGUGAAGGUUGUUCUGCUGCUGAGCAACUUGAGCCCCAGGCAUCUCUUCGAGAAGGAGGUCGGCAUUGCAUCCUCACAGCACGAGCCACGACGACAGAGAGCGAGAUGCAUGGCACGGCGGCCAUCUUGGCGUCUGAUCCAUGGUAAUUGUUUCCUAUUUUGCUGCAGGUUGCCCUCUUGCUUGAUGCAUUUACCAAGGACAGAGCUUCAUUCUCAAGACAUGAUUGAAAAGCUUUAGAAAGCUUAAGAGUUUGAGUGGACAUUCGCUGAGGACGGAAUGCUUGGUGGACAUUCUACAGAGUAAUCAAAAUGAACGUGCAAACAUUAUCCCUAAAGAGCUUCGAGAUCUACUU